rnacentral:rRNA from 1 species
GACGAACGCUGGCGGCGUGCCUAAUACAUGCAAGUAGAACGCUGAAGAGAGGAGCUUGCUCUUCUUGGAUGAGUUGCGAACGGGUGAGUAACGCGUAGGUAACCUGCCUUGUAGCGGGGGAUAACUAUUGGAAACGAUAGCUAAUACCGCAUAACAAUGGAUGACCCAUGUCAUUUAUUUGAAAGGGGCAAAUGCUCCACUACAAGAUGGACCUGCGUUGUAUUAGCUAGUAGGUGAGGUAACGGCUCACCUAGGCGACGAUACAUAGCCGACCUGAGAGGGUGAUCGGCCACACUGGGACUGAGACACGGCCCAGACUCCUACGGGAGGCAGCAGUAGGGAAUCUUCGGCAAUGGGGGCAACCCUGACCGAGCAACGCCGCGUGAAUGAAGAAGGUUUUCGGAUCGUAAAGCUCUGUUGUAAGUCAAGAACGAGUGUGAGAGUGGAAAGUGCACACUGUGACGGGAGCUUACCAGAAAGGGACGGCUAACUACGU